ACUCCUACGGGAGGCAGCAGUGGGGAAUAUUGGACAAUGGGCGAAAGCCUGAUCCGGCCAUGCCGCGUGUGUGAAGAAGGUCUUCGGAUUGUAAAGCACUUUAAGUUGGGAGGAAGGGCAGUAAGUUAAUACCUUGCUGUUUGACGUUACCAACAGAAUAAGCACCGGCUAACUUCGUGCCAGCAGCCGCGGUAAUACGAAGGGUGCAAGCGUUAAUCGGAAUUACUGGGCGUAAAGCGCGCGUAGGUGGUUCAGCAAGUUGGAUGUGAAAUCCCCGGGCUCAACCUGGGAACCGCAUCCAAAACUACUGAGCUAGAGUACGGUAGAGGGUGGUGGAAUUUCCUGUGUAGCGGUGAAAUGCGUAGAUAUAGGAAGGAACACCAGUGGCGAAGGCGACCACCUGGACUGAUACUGACACUGAGGUGCGAAAGCGUGGGAGCAAACAGGAUUAGAUACCCUGGUAGGAUAGCG
rnacentral:rRNA from 1 species